rnacentral:rRNA from 1 species
UACGGGGGGGGCAAGCGUUGUUCGGAAUUACUGGGCGUAAAGGGCUCGUAGGUGGCCAACUAAGUCAGACGUGAAAUCCCUCAGCUUAACUGGGGAACUGCGUCUGAUACUGGAUGGCUUGAGUUUGGGAGAGGGAUGCGGAAUUCCAGGUGUAGCGGCGAAAUGCGUAGAUAUCUGGAGGAACACCGGUGGCGAAGGCGGCAUCCUGGACCAAUACUGACACUGAGGAGCGAAAGCCAGGGGAGCAAACGGG